GAUGAACGCUGGCGGCGUGCUUAACACAUGCAAGUCGAACGGAAAGGCUCCUGCUUGCAGGGGUACUCGAGUGGCGAACGGGUGAGUAACACGUGGGUGAUCUGCCCUGCACUUCGGGAUAAGCCUGGGAAACUGGGUCUAAUACCGGAUAGGACGAUGGUUUGGAUGCCAUUGUGGAAAGUUUUUCGGUGUGGGAUGAGCUCGCGGCCUAUCAGCUUGUUGGUGGGGUAAUGGCCUACCAAGGCGCCGACGGGUAGCCGGCCUGAGAGGGUGUACGGCCACAUUGGGACUGAGAUACGGCCCAGACUCCUACGGGAGGCAGCAGUGGGGAAUAUUGCACAAUGGGCGCAAGCCUGAUGCAGCGACGCCGCGUGGGGGAUGACGGCCUUCGGGUUGUAAACUCCUUUCGCUAGGGACGAAGCGCAAGUGACGGUACCUGGAGAAGAAGCACCGGCUAACUACGUG
rnacentral:rRNA from 1 species